rnacentral:rRNA from 1 species
GACGAACGCUGGCGGCGUGCCUAAUACAUGCAAGUAGAACGCUGAAGGAGGAGCCUGCUCUUCUGGAUGAGUUGCGAACGGGUGAGUAACGCGUAGGUAACCUGCCUGGUAGCGGGGGAUAACUAUUGGAAACGAUAGCUAAUACCGCAUAAGAGUAGAUGUUGCAUGACAUUUGCUUAAAAGGUGCAAUUGCAUCACUACCAGAUGGACCUGCGUUGUAUUAGCUAGUUGGUGGGGUAACGGCUCACCAAGGCGACGAUACAUAGCCGACCUGAGAGGGUGAUCGGCCACCCUGGGACUGAGACACGGCCCAGACUCCUACGGGAGGCAGCAGUAGGGAAUCUUCGGCAAUGGACGGAAGUCUGACCGAGCAACGCCGCGUGAGUGAAGAAGGUUUUCGGAUCGUAAAGCUCUGUUGUAAGAGAAGAACGAGUGUGAGAGUGGAAAGUUCACACUGUGACGGUAUCUUACCAGAAAGGGACGGCUAACUACGUG